rnacentral:rRNA from 1 species
AAAUUGAAGAGUUUGAUCAUGGCUCAGAUUGAACGCUGGCGGCAGGCCUAACACAUGCAAGUCGAACGGUAACAGGAAUCAGCUUGCUGAUUUGCUGACGAGUGGCGGACGGGUGAGUAAUGUCUGGGAAACUGCCUGAUGGAGGGGGAUAACUACUGGAAACGGUAGCUAAUACCGCAUAACGUCGCAAGACCAAAGAGGGGGACCUUCGGGCCUCUUGCCAUCGGAUGUG